AUGAUUUGGGGAAGAUGUUCUGGAUCCAUCUCGUCCCCCCUCUCGCUCUCUCUCUCUCUUAUAUUGCGAUGCGCUCAGCCUCAGAGUACAGCGGGCGCAACUAGCAUACGAUCAUCACUUCGGGUGCAAUCGUGCGUUCCAACUAUGUGGACCCUUGGAGGAGAAAUGAGCUGUCCAUAUUUAGCAGCUUGGCUUAGAUAUGUUCUCUCAAAGGAAUUUGCGUACAUGACAUCCAGUGAAAUAUUGUUUAAUUUACAUGUGUUCGUCAAUGUAGCAACUCUUAUUUCUGAUGAAUCUGAUCUAGCAAAGGUUUUUCUUUGUACAUUUCUGCUUCAGGAUUUGCAGCAUAAUCCGUUUUAA
rnacentral:rRNA from 1 species